AAAAUGUGCACUAAUAAUUUAGACUAAAUGUGCAACGACAAAAUGUGUUUGCGCAGAUGAUAGUGUAGAAGCAUAGCUUUAAAUGCAUAAAACAUUUUUUAUAAUUAGGCCUACCCAAAAUAUAUUAUUUAUAUAUUCUGUUCAGCCAUGUUUACUAGCAAAACUUCCGGACUGAGGAACAUCGAAGUAAGGGUGGUCACUCUGAAAUUAACCCAUAAAUUAUAGCACUUUAGUGUUACUUCCCUUGAUAUGCCAUUUUGAAGAUAUCUUUUUACAAACAGCAAAAGUUAUUGAUAGCAUGAAAUUCUUUAAAAUUGUGUUAUUCGCUCUUACUUGUACAUUUAUUACUUCAUACGCAGCUUAUGACUGUGCUCUUGGGCUGUGGGGAAGCCAGUGCAGCAAUGACUGUGGAAAUUGCGAGGGAGGAAAGGCAUUUUGUCAGGUGACUAAUGGACUGUGCGUCAACGGCUGCGCCAGAGGAUACCAAGGAAGAGACUGCAAGACACCGUGCCCACCCGGAACACAUGGCCAGUACUGUGUUUACAAAUGUGGCUCCUGCUCCGAUGUGAGACCAGUAUGUGAUCCUGUCAGUGGAAUGUGCCAAGCCGGAUGCAAGACAGGAUUCCAGAAGCCACAUUGCAAAUUGGCGUGCCCAUUCUACACAUGGGGAGAUGAUUGCAGUAAUAAUUGUAGUUGUAAAAAGCCGCCCAUUGAGUGCAGUUGUCAUCCUGAAACUGGACAGUGCGAACCUUGUGGUCCCAAUCAGAAAUCUUUGCGUUUCUCUAUGCCAGUGAACAACCCAGAAUGCCUUAAUCAAUUUGCUCUAGACGAAGCUGUCAAGUUCUACACUCCGCCCUCAGUGUUGAACAUCCCAUGGAAACCUGUGGCAGCCAUCUUCCUAUUACUUAUCCUCUUCAUCUUCACCUAUUAUAUUUACUGGUCAGUACAUAAAAUCUCAUCACCUAUUAUAUUUACUGGUGGAAGUACAUUAGGCAAGUUCCAAUAGAUGAGGAGACAAAGGAAAUAGCGAGAGAGAAGAAACGUCAGAGGAUUCGUCAAAAACAGCUUCGGUUUUAUGCAAAGCACGCCAAAGAAAACAUGGCAAAAUAUAGGACAGCUGACUGGGAAAAUAAGCCACCGGUUGAGAGGGAAUCUUAUGAACAAAUCUACUUCUAAUAUCAGUGCACUAAUUUAUAUCUUUGUUCGUGUGUAAUUCUUUAUAAAUGCUAUAUAAAUAGAAAG